UGGGGAAUAUUGCACAAUGGGCGCAAGCCUGAUGCAGCAACGCCGCGUGAACGAUGAAGGUCUUCGGAUCGUAAAGUUCUGUUGCAGGGGAAGAUAAUGACGGUACCCUGUGAGGAAGCCCCGGCUAACUACGUGCCAGCAGCCGCGGUAAUACGUAGGGGGCUAGCGUUAUCCGGAUUCAUUGGGCGUAAAGCGCUCGUAGGCGGUCUGUUAGGUCGGCAAGUUAAAUCCGGGGGCUCAACCCCCGUCCGCUUCCGAUACCGGCAGACUUGAGUUUGGUAGGGGAAGGUGGAAUUCCUAGUGUAGCGGUGGAAUGCGCAGAUAUUAGGAAGAACACCGGUGGCGAAGGCGGCCUUCUGGGCCAUAACUGACGCUGAGGAGCGAAAGCUAGGGGAGCGAACAGG
rnacentral:rRNA from 1 species